rnacentral:rRNA from 1 species
UGCCAGCCGCCGCGGUAAUACGGAGGGUCCAAGCGUUAUCCGGAAUCAUUGGGUUUAAAGGGUGCGUAGGCGGACAGAUGUGUCAGGUGUGAAAGCCCAGAGCUCAACUCUGGAACUGCGCCUGAAACUAUUUGUCUAGAGUAUCGGAGAGGUAAGCGGAAUUCCUAGUGUAGCGGUGAAAUACGUAGAUAUCUGGAGGAACACCAGUGGCGAAGGCGAUCUCUUGGUCCAUAACUGACGCUGAGGCGCGAAAGCGUGGGGAGCAAACAGGAUUAGAUA